rnacentral:rRNA from 1 species
UACGUAUGGAGCAAGCGUUAUCCGGAUUUACUGGGUGUAAAGGGAGCGCAGGCGGCUUUGCAAGUCUGAUGUGAAAGGCCGGGGCUCAACCCCGGGACUGCAUUGGAAACUGUAAAGCUAGAGUGCCGGAGGGGUAAGCGGAAUUCCUAGUGUAGCGGUGAAAUGCGUAGAUAUUAGGAGGAACACCAGUGGCGAAGGCGGCUUACUGGACGGUAACUGGCGCUGAGGCUCGAAAGCGUGGGGAGCAAACAGG